UUUCCGUAGGUGAACCUGCGGAAGGAUCAUUAAAAAUAUCACUCGAUUGAGAGUGAUUUAAUAAUCAUCCUACCUUUGUGAAUUUGUUUGUAAUGUUAAAUUUAUGUUGUCUAUCCCUUGGAAAGUUUGUUCAUUUAAACCCCAAGGGAAUAGGCUUUCAUAGACCUUUUUUUUAAAAUUAAACAUUUUGUAUUCAUUUGUCUAAAAUUUAUUUUUAAAAUAAUUUAAAAACAACUUUUGACAAUGGAUCUCUUGGUUCUCGCAACGAUGAAGAACGCAGCAAAAUGCGAUAAGUAAUGUGAAUUGCAGAAUACGUGAUCAUCACAUCUUCGAACGCAUAUUGCACUUUUUUAGUUUACUAAAAAAGUAUGUCUGUUUGAGUAUCAGUAAAAUAUCCUCAUAAAAAAAAUUUUUUUUUUUUAUGGUCAUGAGUGUUUUACAACGAUAAACAAGUUGUUUCACUUUAAAUUGAUUUUUAAAAGCCAAUUUUUUUUGGUUUUUAUCUAAUAAAACUGGAUAAAAUUUUCCCGUAAAAAGGAAUAAACUUUUCAGUUUUAAGGGGUAAAAAUUAAAAUAUUAAUUGUUGCUUAAUUUAAAAGGAAAAUUUAAUUUAAAAAUAACUUGAUCUCAAAUCAGAUAAGAGUACCCGCUGAACUUAAGCAUAUCAAUAAGCGGAGGAAAAGAAACUAACAAGGAUUCCCUUAGUAACGGCGAGUGAAGCGGGAAGAGCUCAAAUUUGAAAUCUUCAAGGUUCUACCUUGACGAAUUGUAGUUUAAAGAAGUGUUUUCUGUUAGAGGAGUAGCAAAAGUUCCUUGGAAUGGGACAUCAUAGAGGGUGAGAAUCCGUAUUUGGUUAUUCUUUCUAGCUUUGUGAUACACUUUCAAAGAGUCGGAUUGUUUGGGAAUGCAGUCCAAAAUGGGUGGUAAUUUCAUCUAAAGCUAAAUAUUGGCGAGAGACCGAUAGCGAACAAGUACCGUGAGGGAAAGAUGAAAAGAACUUUGAAAAGAGAGUUAAACAGUACGUGAAAUUGUCAAAUGGGAAGCGUUUGACACCAGUGUUGUUUUUCCGAAAAUCAAUUAAGAAGGGCUUGAUUUUGUGUUGUAUUGACCUUAUCAGCUUUCUUCACUCUUUUUCGAGUCUUUCUUAAUGCACUUUUCGGUUAACAAGUCAACAUCAAUUCUUUUGUUGUAAAAGGGUAUUUGGAAGGUGGCUUUCUUUUCGGAGAAAGUGUUUAUAGCCUUAUACCUCUACAAUCGGAGAGAUUGAGGUCUGCAGCGUAGAUCCUUCGGGCUAGAUACACUUGUGCUAAGUUAUAGCUUUUCAUAGACAACCUGUUGACUAUGUUUAGUCAUGUAGCUUACCCGCUUGUGCUAUUUUACCUACGCUUAGGAUGUUGAA
rnacentral:misc_RNA from 1 species